rnacentral:lncRNA from 1 species
AACACUCUGCCUUUUACCACUCAAUUUGCUCUUUUAGUUCUUUAGAGAAACCAAAAUGAAUCAACACAAAGAAAUCAAUUUCAGAUGAUAAUCAACACACAAAAAACAGCAAACAAAAAAAAGAGACUCUAAAACAAAGGAAACAAGGAGAAUUUUAAGAGUGUGGCAAGAAAAAGAAAAUAGAACUUUUCUCUCUUUUUUUUUUUUUGAAUCACAAUCUUUAACAAUGAGAUCCUUUUUUUAUAUUUUUUUUCUUCUUAUAACUCUUUUUUUUUUUCGAAUUUUUUUUAUAAUGAUAAAUGGAUAAUAAUGAAAGAACAAAGAAUAUAGACGAUUUACCACAUUUUGGCCCUUUUUUUUUUGGAAUAUGCUCUGAUUACCACUUGAUAUGAACUAACCUUUGAGACUUAUGCAUUUCCUUCAAAAUUCCUGAAACAACUUUGUUAACUUUUGGAAUAUUAAUUCUUUUGUGACUCAGAG